CCUACGGGGGGCAGCAGUGAGGAAUAUUGGUCAAUGGACGAGAGUCUGAACCAGCCAAGUAGCGUGAAGGAUGACUGCCCUAUGGGUUGUAAACUUCUUUUAUAUGGGAAUAAAAUGUUCCACGUGUGGGAUUUUGUAUGUACCAUAUGAAUAAGGAUCGGCUAACUCCGUGCCAGCAGCCGCGGUAAUACGGAGGAUCCGAGCGUUAUCCGGAUUUAUUGGGUUUAAAGGGAGCGUAGGUGGAUUGUUAAGUCAGUUGUGAAAGUUUGCGGCUCAACCGUAAAAUUGCAAUUGAAACUGGCAGUCUUGAGUACAGUAGAGGUGGGCGGAAUUCGUGGUGUAGCGGUGAAAUGCUUAGAUAUCACGAAGAACUCCGAUUGCGAAGGCAGUUCACUGAACUGCAACUGACACUGAGGCUCGAAAGUGUGGGUAUCAAACAGGAUUAGAUACCCGGGUAGUC
rnacentral:rRNA from 1 species